ensembl:lncRNA
GUGACUAACACUAACACUUUGCCAUGGAAAGUAACAUAUUGCCAAGUUUAAGUAACAAGGAUGUGGACACUUGGAGGGAAUUAAUCAUCUACUUGGACUUCCCAGGUGGCUCAGGGGUAAAGAAUCCACCUGCACUGCAGGAGACUCAGGUUCCAUCUCUGGGUUGAAAAGAAGCCCCGGAGAAAGAAAUGGCAACCCACUCCUGUACUCUUACCUGGGAAAUCCCACAGACAGAGGACCCUACAGUCCUACAGGGACCUCAUGAAGCUGUGGAUGGGACUCUGUCCGUGACGACAUUGGCAUCCCACCUCAGUCUUUUCCAACCCGCGCAUGGACCAUGACAGUGGGGCCAAGAUUUAAACACAGAGAAUGCCACUCAGCAGCAGGAAUCCCUAAAUCCUUCCCUGUAAAACCGGUUUGAUCAUCACUAUC